rnacentral:rRNA from 1 species
AACGACUCUCGGCAACGGAUAUCUCGGCUCUCGCAUCGAUGAAGAACGUAGCGAAAUGCGAUACUUGGUGUGAAUUGCAGAAUCCCGUGAACCAUCGAGUCUUUGAACGCAAGUUGCGCCCGAAGCCAUCCGGCUGAGGGCACGUCUGCCUGGGUGUCACGC